rnacentral:rRNA from 1 species
CCUACGGGUGGCAGCAGUAGGGAAUUUUGCGCAAUGGGGGAAACCCUGACGCAGCAACGCCGCGUGAUCGAUGAAGCCCUUCGGGGUGUAAAGAUCUGUCAGUGGGGACGAAACCUGACGGUACCCAAAGAGGAAGCAUCGGCUAACUCCGUGGCAGCAGCCGCGGUAAUACGGGGGGUGCAAGCGUUGUCCGGAAUCAUUGGGCGUAAAGAGUACGGAGGUGGCACGUUAAGACAGGUGUGAAAGGCGGAAGCUCAACUUCCGUAGGGCACUGGAUACUGGCGAGCUAGAAUGCGGUAGAGGUGAAGAGAAUUCCAGGUGUAGCGGUGAAAUGCGUAGAUAUCAGGAGGAAUAUCGGUGGCGUAAGCGCUUUCCUGGGCCAUAAUUGACACUGAGGAGCGAAAGCCGGGGUAGCAAAUGGGAUUAGAUACCCUUGUAGUC